UCCNGAGUAGCCUUUUCAGAAUGGAUAGUG
rnacentral:piRNA from 1 species